rnacentral:rRNA from 1 species
CCUACGGGAGGCAGCAGUGGGGAAUCUUGCGCAAUGGGCGAAAGCCUGACGCAGCCAUGCCGCGUGAAUGAUGAAGGUCUUAGGAUUGUAAAAUUCUUUCACCGGGGACGAUAAUGACGGUACCCGGAGAAGAAGCCCCGGCUAACUUCGUGCCAGCAGCCGCGGUAAUACGAAGGGGGCUAGCGUUGCUCGGAAUUACUGGGCGUAAAGGGAGCGUAGGCGGACAUUUAAGUCAGGGGUGAAAUCCCAGAGCUCAACUCUGGAACUGCCUUUGAUACUGGGUGUCUUGAGUGUGAUAGAGGUAUGUGGAACUCCGAGUGUAGAGGUGAAAUUCGUAGAUAUUCGGAAGAACACCAGUGGCGAAGGCGACAUACUGGAUCAUUACUGACGCUGAGGCCGAAAGCGUGGGGAGCAAACAGGAUUAGAUACCCUGGUAGUACCACGCCGUAAACGAUGAUUGCUAGUAGUUGGGAUGUUUACAUCUCGGUGACGCAGCUAACGCAUUAAGCAAUCCGCCUGGGGAGUACGGUCGCAAGAUUAAAACUCAAAGGAUUGACGG